AUGUAUCCUCCAAUUCAUCGGUGCUCCAAUGGUCAAACCAUUUGUUCUGAAUGCAAGCCAAGGGUUCAUAAUGGUCGCCCAACUUGCAGGAGUGAAUUGGGUAACAUAAGAUGCCUUGCUUUGGAGAAGGUUGGCGCCUCUCUAGACUUUAUGUCCAAGUUCCAGAACUUUGGAUGCUUGGGAAUGUAUCCUUAUUAUUGCAAGUUAAAACAUGAAUCAGAGUGCCAAUACAGACCCUAUACUGGCCCAUAUGCAGGUUCUGUAUGCACUGUCUCUGAUGACAUUCCAUAUCAAAUUUCAGAGUGCUCUCCGAACUAA
rnacentral:rRNA from 1 species